UCAGAACGAACGCUGGCGGCGUGCUUAACACAUGCAAGUCGAACGAGAAAGCGGACUUCGGUUCGUUAGUAAAGUGGCAGACGGGUGAGUAACACGUGGGCAAUCUGCCCGGAAGUGGGGAAUAACUCUUCGAAAGGGGAGCUAAUACCGCAUACUAUCACUAGGUCCUUGGACUCUGUGAUCAAAACAGGCCUCUGAUUCAAGCUUGUGCUUCCGGAGGAGCCCGCGCCCCAUUAGCUAGUUGGUGAGGUAACGGCUCACCAAGGCUCCGAUGGGUAGCCGGCCUGAGAGGGCGACCGGCCACACUGGGACUUAGACACGGUCCAGACUCCUACGGGAGGCAGCAGUGAGGAAUAUUGCGCAAUGGGCGAAAGCCUGACGCAGCGACGCCGCGUGGAGGAAGAAGGCCUUCGGGUUGUAAACUCCUGUCAGGAGGGACGAAUGUCUGAUGGGUUAAUACCCUGUCAGGUUGACGGUACCUCCAAAGGAAGCCCCGGCUAACUCCGUGCCAGCAGCCGCGGUAAUACGGAGGGGGCCAGCGUUGUUCGGAAUUAUUGGGC
rnacentral:rRNA from 1 species